rnacentral:rRNA from 1 species
ACGGGGCGCAGCAGGCGCGAAACCUUUACACUGCACGACAGUGCGAUAAGGGGACCCCGAGUGCGUAGGCAUAGAGCCUACGCUUUUGUACACCGUAAGGUGGUGUACGAAUAAGGGCUGGGCAAGACCGGUGCCAGCCGCCGCGGCAAUACCGGCAGCCCGAGUGAUGGCCGAUAUUAUUGGGCCUAAAGCGUCCGUAGCUGGCCGGACAAGUCCGUUGGGAAAUCUGUUCGCUUAACGAGCAGGCGUCCAGCGGAAACUGUUCGGCUUGGGACCGGAAGACCUGAGGGGUACGUCCGGGGUAGGAGUGAAAUCCUGUAAUCCUGGACGGACCACCGGUGGCGAAAGCGCCUCAGGAGGACGGAUCCGACAGUGAGGGACGAAAGCUAGGGUCUCGAACCGGAUUAGAUACCCCCGUAGUCC